rnacentral:rRNA from 1 species
UACGAAGGGUGCUAGCGUUGUUCGGAAUUACUGGGCGUAAAGCGCGCGUAGGCGGCUAUCCAAGUCAGGGGUGAAAUCCUUGGGCUCAACCCAAGAAUUGCCUUUGAAACUGUAUAGCUAGAGUGUCGGAGGGGAUAGCGGAAUUGCUAAUGUAGAGGUGAAAUUCGUAGAUAUUAGCAGGAACACCGGUGGCGAAGGCGGCUAUCUGGACGACAACUGACGCUGAGGCGCGAAAGCGUGGGGAUCAAACAGG